rnacentral:lncRNA from 1 species
AACAUUAAACUUUGAUGUUUAAUAAAAUUGAAGCCUAGGUAUUAUUACUUCAAUUUUAUAAAUAAUCGAAGAUAAAAGUCUACCUCUGGUAAAUUUAGGUAAGUUUUUUAUGAAGUUGUCAAUGUUCUCUCGUCUCUACAAACAUCGUUUUCAAAUGACCUCUACUUUGUUCACCACUGCAACUGCUUUCUCCUUGUUGCAUUGCCUCGUUGUUGAGAAGUUAUGAUCUUUUCCUUCCUCAUUACAAUCACGUUUUUCUUUUCCUCCCUCAUUCCAUUCACGUUUUUCUCUUCUUUUGCCACUCUCUGCCAUUUUUCCUCCAUUCUCGCCAUUAUAACUCCACUCAUACACUUUCCCGCCACUAUAGGUCACCAUUUGGAAGCUAACACUCAUUUUCUUCCAUUUCCCUCGUUGCAAAGACAUCUCCAUUUCCAUUUGUUCCUCCUUUAUUUCCACCAUCGUGAGGUUCUUUAUUUUCAUUAAGUUUUAUUACAUUCUUCCUAAAGUACACCUUUUGUGUUGUCAUCCAUGUUUAUGAUAUUGCAUUCUAGUUACAUUGUGCGGG